UAGAGGUGGCAGAGACAGGAACGGAGCCAAGGCUGCGGAGGCGGGAGGGGAGAUGCAGCC
rnacentral:sRNA from 1 species